UAUAAGAUGGCGGCGUCUAUAGUUUCUUCCAUCAUUUUCUUUCUUCUUAUUAUCAUACUCUCACUUUUUGUAGAUGGACACGUUUUUGCUGCCCAAUAUUAGCAAGAAGAACACUCCACUUCAACCAGAAACUCUGCUUUCUGCGUUUGGGUCUGUCAAAACCGAAGACAAGUCAUUGGGCCUUUCAACAAAUAUCAAGCCCAUGAAGCCCAACGUAAACAACUCUUCUUCACUCUGCAACGGUAACAUUUAUCCUCAGUCAAACUUAUCUCCGGCUCCAGCUCACCUCCGUACGGGUCACACAGCUCAUCAGAUACAAAGACACAACCGAUUUGAUUCGCUUUGUUCCCCUGUCGUCUUAUAUACGUAGUGACGUGUAACCUAGGAGCCUCUCUUUUGGGUGUUGUUAUAUAAGGGGAAAGGGGAUUUUCAUACCCGUACUAUCUGCACUGUGGAUUUUCAUAACUGAACAAUUUCGUAGGGUAUUUUACAAUCUAAACUUCAAUAAAAUUUGAAUCUCAUACAUAUACUUGAUACAACGUGCAAAAAUCAGAGUCAAUUUAAUGGGUGUUAGUCAACUCCAUUACGGUGCUGAGUCAUCGUACACCUGUACGCUGACGUGUAUCAAAACGACGUCGUUUUCAUACCCGUACUAUCUGC
rnacentral:lncRNA from 1 species